GACGAACGCUGGCGGCGUGCUUAACACAUGCAAGUCGAACGGAAAGGCCCUGCUUUUGUGGGGUGCUCGAGUGGCGAACGGGUGAGUAACACGUGAGUAACCUGCCCUUGACUUUGGGAUAACUUCAGGAAACUGGGGCUAAUACCGGAUAGGAGCUCCUGCUGCAUGGUGGGGGUUGGAAAGUUUCGGCGGUUGGGGAUGGACUCGCGGCUUAUCAGCUUGUUGGUGGGGUAGUGGCUUACCAAGGCUUUGACGGGUAGCCGGCCUGAGAGGGUGACCGGCCACAUUGGGACUGAGAUACGGCCCAGACUCCUACGGGAGGCAGCAGUGGGGAAUAUUGCACAAUGGGCGGAAGCCUGAUGCAGCAACGCCGCGUGCGGGAUGACGGCCUUCGGGUUGUAAACCGCUUUCGCCUGUGACGAAGCGUGAGUGUCGGUAAUGGGUAAAGAAGCACCGGCUAACUACGUC
rnacentral:rRNA from 1 species